CACCUGAAUCUCACACAGCUAGGGCUGGCCCAAGAGCUCAGAGGAGUGCAGGGUGCAGCUCACCCACUGGCUUCCGGAAGUACGAGCAGGCGCCCAUGAGUCCCAUGGCUGCACCCUUUCAACUAUUAAAAGUAUAGCCUUGUGGUUAGAGCCCCACCUAUGUCACCUGCCAGGGUAGGUGGACACCUUGCUAAUCACUUACUGGGUGUGUGACCCUUAACAAGUCCAUUAGCCUCUCUAUUCCUGUUUUCUCGUCUAUAAAAUAGGAAUCACACUAUAGUGGCUGUGAGGAUUAAGAGAGAUGAUUCACAGGAGGGCCCAGCAUACAGUAAGAUCAAAAUAAAGGGGAGGUGGAGGUGAAGCAGUUACUGGAGAAGAAAAGAGGUCCUAAAUUACCGGAUUAAUGGGGCUUUUGAGUGUUUCCACCUGUCCUGAUCCACCCAUUUGUACAAAAUCCAAUUACUACACUCUUCACCAGAUAGAAGACUCAGCUGUCAAACUGCGUGGGAUACAAAUGCAAGGGCACUGUUCAUAGUCUCAGUAGGUGUUGAUGCUUCUGGAAUUUGCAGCAUUUAUUCUUCCACCGAUUAUGUACUCAGUACGUACCUCGUACCAGAGACUGGGAUGAAAGGAGGAGCUUAAGCUGGCAAGAUAGCUAGUCUUAGGAGGUGUCUGACAUAAACCACAUAGUCAACACUAAUAACCAUAAGCACAAACCAAGAUAAGGGAUCACAGGCAG